rnacentral:rRNA from 1 species
GACGAACGCUGGCGGCGUGCUUAACACAUGCAAGUCGAACGGAAGGGCCCUGCUUUUGUGGGGUGCUCGAGUGGCGAACGGGUGAGUAACACGUGAGUAACCUGCCCUUGACUUUGGGAUAACUUCAGGAAACUGGGGCUAAUACCGGAUAGGAGCUCCUGCUGCAUGGUGGGGGUUGGAAAGUUUCGGCGGUUGGGGAUGGACUAGCGGCUUAUCAGCUUGUUGGUGGGGUAGUGGCUUACCAAGGCUUUGAGGGGUAGCCGGCCUGAGAGGGUGACCGGCCACAUUGGGACUGAGAGACGGCGCAGACUCCUACGGGAGGCAGCAGUGGGGAAUAUUGCACAAUGGGCGGAAGCCUGAUGCAGCAACGCCGCGUGCGGGAUGACGGCCUUCGGGUUGUAAACCGCUUUCGCCUGUGACGAAGCGUUAGUGACGGUAAUGGGUAAAGAAGCACCGGCUAACUACGUG